UCGAGAGUCUUGUAUAUAGGUAGGCAAGGGUUAGAAGAAAAGAAGGAAAAAGAGAAGGAAUGAAAGAAAAGAAAAGAAAAGGAAAUGGAGAAAAGAUAAAAAAAUCUGUGCAAGAUAUAGUAUUACACUAAAAAGAGUAUCCUGUGUUUUGAUUGGUCGGGUAGCCUUGCCCACCGAUCACGCCUCGUAACUGUCCGAUUUGCUUAGAUCGAACGGCUGCGGCUGCCCUAUCUUUUAUUCCCCUCUCUCCUUAUCCCUUCGCACCCACGCCUAGCGAUCGAAGCCGCCGCAAGUCACCGCCGCUAGCCUGGAGGCCUCAUGCCGCCACCGCUCGCCCCUUUCUCUGUAGGUCACCCACGCACCUGGGACCCGGGGCCGUUUCCUCCUCCCCACCAGGCUCGAGGAGGCCCGAGGAGGUGACCAUGAGGAGCGCGCAGCCGCCGGAGCCAUGGGUAGAUCCAGCCGGGACCGUCGGCAACCAUCCCUCCUUCCGGCGGCGAUGAAGAAUUGAAGAGGCUUGAGGAGAAUGGGCGCAUGGGCCGUGCGCGUCUCCCGCGCUAGGAGCCACCGGUCCUCGUCAUCUGCUAGGAUCCACGAGGAAUCGAUCCAUAUAAUGUUUGCGAGGAGCUCGGUUAGUGUUGAUGCCUCAAGGGUUUAUGCAUGUCAGUUCCAUGUUGCUUAAAGCCACUGUAACCAUGGCUACUGGUUUUCAUGUAUAUGUUUAUGCAGUCAUAACACGCUUGUUGACAACUCGUAUGGAAUGUUUAUAUUAUUUAUAAAUUUUCCAUGGAAUGUCUACUGUUAAAAAACAUCUUGCGGGUACUUUAGUUAGGUACUAGAAAGCACAUACAUACGCACAUGCCCAGCACAACCACAAGCACACAAUACAUCACAACACAUAUGUUCCACACAUACAUCACAACACAUAUGUGCUGCUUUUGACUUCUCAAUGGUAUGAUGAUGCUUUGCUCUGCCACUCUAAUUUUUUUGCAUUGGGGCACUUUGCAUGUGCUUGCUCCUGUGUAGUUGUUCUGCUCUGUUCACAUAAUGUCCAGAUACAACAAGUUAAUCUUGAUUCGUACAAGAGCUAAGUAGAGUUGUCUCAACUCUUUUUUUUAGGUUGUUUACCACACGUUUGCCACGUGGUGAUUGUUGAAACUCUAAAUACAAAUAGCGCAACAGUUUACUGCUAUGUAGUAUUAAAUGGGAUUAUGUAGGCAAAUGCACGGAUCACAGAAGAUCCCAUUGACCAGUGAAAAGUAAAUAACCUUUUUGACUAUUGCUCCCUUUGCUUCAGCGGUUCAGCCACAUCCCUGCGGCUUCUCCUCUCUCUCUCUCUCUCUCUCUCUCUCUCUCUCUCUCCCUCUCUCUCUCUCUCUCACUAUUCUGCACUUCAAACACAACGAUGUAGGAUGAGGCAAAGUACGCAGGUAACAUGAAAAAUACAUGAAAACAAGGCAAAUUUUGGUGUUGUAAUUUAUAGAUACCUCUUGGUUACUUUGUUUCAAAAUAAAUAAUUAAAUUUUGGCUGGCAUUUUCACCAAUGUAGCACCCAAAAAAAUCAUCUUUGAUGGAUUGAAUACGACAGAAGUUCUAUGCAGUUCGAUUGGUAAUUGUUCGUUCGUUGUCAUAUAAUUCAACAUUUUGCUCUCGGGCUAUCUAUGUGAUAUGUCUAUGUUAUCAACUCUUUAUUAGUAAAAAUAGUACCUAUUUUGCCAUAUCCAUGGUCAAUUCCUAUAUUUUUCCUUGGAAAAAUUCCUACAUAUUCCAUAGACCAUGUUGCAUUUUAGAAUUUCGUUCAAUGUUCGGCCCCCCUUAUGUAUAAUUCCUGGCUCCGCCGUUGCGCCUAACACAUGCGUGCAGGUGUGGGCAUCCCUUUAUUAGUCCCACUUGCAGUCUGAAUGUGUAUCCCUAAGAAAGUGAAUGGUCAUGAUAGUCUUCCUGAACUAUGACUAUGUGUAUCCAUUGAAGUAAUGUUCAUGCAAAUACUAUAAUUAUCGUUGUUGAAUAAUAAUAUUGAUCAUAAUAUAGGUCGCAUCCAAAGUAGUUUUAAAGACUUUAA